rnacentral:rRNA from 1 species
CUGCCAGCCGCCGCGGUAAUACGGAGGGUGCGAGCGUUAAUCGGAAUUACUGGGCGUAAAGGGUGCGUAGGCGGUUGAAUCAGUCGGAUGUGAAAGCCCCGGGCUUAACCUGGGAAUUGCAUUCGAUACUGUUCGGCUAGAGUACGAUAGAGGGUGGUGGAACUCCAGGUGUAGCGGUGAAAUGCGUAGAUAUCUGGAAGAACACCAGUGGCGAAGGCGGCCACCUGGAUCGUAACUGACGCUGAGGCACGAAAGCGUGGGGAGCAAACAGGAUUAGAUACCCUGGUAGUCCACGCCCUAAACGAUGAGAACUAGCCGCUGGGAGGAUUAGCCUUUCAGUGGCGUAGCUAACGCGUUAAGUUCUCCGCCUGGGGAGUACGGCCGCAAGGUUGAAACUUAAAUGAAUUGACGG